rfam:Bacillus sp. MTM 116 56, whole genome shotgun sequence.
GGGGUCUUAGCUCAGCUGGGAGAGCGCCUGCUUUGCACGCAGGAGGUCAGGGGUUCGAUCCCCCUAGACUCCA